rnacentral:rRNA from 1 species
GACGAACGCUGGCGGCGUGCUUAACACAUGCAAGUCGGACGGUAAGGCCCUUCGGGGUACACGAGUGGCGAACGGGUGAGUAACACGUGGGUGAUCUGCCCUGCACUUCGGGAUAAGCCUGGGAAACUGGGUCUAAUACCGGAUAGGACCACUGCCUGCAUGGGUGGUGGUGGAAAGCUUUUGCGGUGUGGGAUGGGCCCGCGGCCUAUCAGCUUGUUGGUGGGGUGAUGGCCUACCAAGGCGACGACGGGUAGCCGGCCUGAGAGGGUGACCGGCCACACUGGGACUGAGAUACGGCCCAGACUCCUACGGGAGGCAGCAGUGGGGAAUAUUGCGCAAUGGGCGCAAGCCUGAUGCAGCGACGCCGCGUGAGGGAUGACGGCCUUCGGGUUGUAAACCUCUUUCAGCACCGACGAAGCGCAAGUGACGGUAGGUGCAGAAGAAGGACCGGCCAACUACGUGCCAGCCGCCGCGGUAA